CCGGGCGCAGGUCCGGCUGGGGAGCGGAACGGCAUGGGAGGGCCGGCCGCAGCGGGUGACAGCCCCGUACGCGAACCCAGACCGGACGGCGCGACGCGGUCCCUGAGUAGGGCCGGGCACGUGAAACCCGGUCCGAACCUGGGUGGACCACCAUCCAAGCCUGAGUACUACCCUGUGACCGAUAGCGCACCAGUACCGUGAGGGAAAGGUGAAAAGCACCCCGGGAGGGGAGUGAAACAGUACCUGAAACCGUGCGCCCACGAGCAGUCGGAGCACCUUUAUGGUGUGACGGCGUGCCUUUUGUAGAAUGAGCCAGCGAGUCGCUGGCGCGGGGCGAGGUUAACCGAAAGGGAGCCGGAGCGAAAGCGAGCCUUAACAGGGCGACUUGAGUCCCGCGCCGCGGACGCGAAGCCGGGUGAGCUAUCCGUGGGCAGGCUGAAGCGGGGGUAAGACCCCGUGGAGGGCCGAACGCACGUCGGUUGAAAACGGCGGCGAUGACCCGAGGAUAGGGGUGAAAGGCCAAUCAAACCCGGAGAUAUCUCGUUCUCCCCGAAAUAGCUUUAGGGCUAGCGUCGCGCGUUCACCGCCGGAGGUAGAGCACCGGAUGGACGAGGGGGCUUCGCCGCCUACCGAAUCCAACCGAACUCCGAAUGCCGGCGGCCCAGAGCGCGGCAGUCAGAGCAUGUGGGCUAAGCUGUGUGCUCGAGAGGGAAACAGCCCGGACCGCCCGCUAAGGUCCCCAAGUUCCAGCCGAGUGGCAAAGGAUGUGCGUCCGCCCAGACAACCAGGAUGUUGGCUUAGAAGCAGCCAUCCAUUCAAAGAGUGCGUAACAGCUCACUGGUCGAGUGGACAUGCGCCGACAAUACACGGGGCUAAGCUGGACACCGAAGCGGCGGGAUUUUAAUUCAUUAGAAUCGGUAGGGGAGCUUCCCAUGGGCGGAGAAGCCGGAGGGCGACCGACGGUGGAGCGCAUGGGAGUGAGAAUGCUGGCAUGAGUAGCGAGAGACGAGAGAGUAACUCGUCCGCCGUGAACCCGAGGUUUCCUGGGCAAGGCUAAUCCUCCCAGGGUCAGUCGGGGGCUAAGGCGAGGCCGGUAGGCGUAGCCGACGCGCAGCAGGCAGACAUUCCUGCACCGCGCACGCGGCGCUACGACCGACGGGGCGACGGAUGGGGGUGGCUCGGCGGGGUUCUGGACGUCCCCGUGAUGGAGCGCGGCCCGCGGACCAGGGAAAUCCGGUCCGCACGAGGGCGAGGCUCCGGACGAAGCGAUUGAGCGAAGCGAGUGAGCCCGAGGUCCCUAGAAAAACCCCUAGGCAGGCGCGUGCGCGCCCGUACCGCAAACCGACACAGGUGGGUGGGUAGAACAUACCGAGGCGAUCGGGUCAACCAUGGUCAAGGAACUCGGCACAAUGGCCCCGUAACUUCGGGAGAAGGGGUGCCCGCGCGUACGUGAACCGGCUUGCCCGGGGAGCGGAGGCGGGCCGCAGUGGAGAGGCCCAAGCGACUGUUUACCAAAAACACAGGACUCUGCAGAAGCCGCAAGGCGACGUAUAGGGUCUGACGCCUGCCCGGUGCCGGAAGGUCACGCGGAGGAGUUAGCCGAUUCGGCGAAGCCCCGAAGCCAAGCCCCGGUAAACGGCGGCCGUAACUAUAACGGUCCUAAGGUAGCGAAAUUCCUUGUCGGGUAAGUUCCGACCUGCACGAAAGGCGUAACGACUUGGGCGCUGUCUCGACCACGGACCCGGUGAAAUUGCAUUGUUCGUGAAGAUGCGAGCUACCUGCGGAAGGACGGAAAGACCCCGUGAACCUUCACUGCAGCUUGGCAUUGGCCGCUGGUCCCGCGUGUAGAGGAUAGGCAGGAGGCUAAGAUCCGGAGGCGCCAGCCCCCGGGGAGCCGCCCUUGGAAUACUGCCCUCGCGCGACCGGCGUCCUAACCCGAGGCCGUCAACCGGCUCGGGGACCGUGCCAGGCGGGCAGUUUGACUGGGGCGGUCGCCUCCUAAAGGGUAACGGAGGCGCGCGAAGGUCCGCUCGGGACGGUCGGCAACCGUCCUUUUGAAUGCAAGAGUACAAGCGGGCUUGACUGCGAGGCCCACAAGCCGAGCAGGUGCGAAAGCAGGCUCUAGUGAUCCGGCGGCCCCGAGUGGGUGGGCCGUCGCUCAACGGAUAAAAGGUACUCCGGGGAUAACAG
rnacentral:rRNA from 1 species